CCCUUAGAUGUUCCGGGCCGCACGCGCGCUACACUGACUACUUCAACGAGUUGUUUCCUUGAUCGAAAGGUCUGGGUAAUCUUUGAAAGGUAGUCGUGAUGGGGAUAGAUCCUUGCAAUUUUUGAUCUUCAACGAGGAAUUCCUAGUAAACGCAAGUCAUCAGCUUGCAUUGAUUACGUCCCUGCCCUUUGUACACACCGCCCGUCGCACCUACCGAUUGAAUGGUCCGGUGAAUCUUUAGGACUGUGGCUGAGGCCUUGCCUUGUGCGGGUCUGGCCGUGGGAAUUUAGUUAAACCUUACCAUUUAGAGGAAGGUGAAGUCGUAACA
rnacentral:rRNA from 1 species